GUAACAGGUCUUCGGAUGCUGACGAGUGGCGAACGGGUGAGUAAUACAUCGGAACGUGCCUAGUAGUGGGGGAUAACUACUCGAAAGAGUAGCUAAUACCGCAUGAGAUCUACGGAUGAAAGCAGGGGACCUUCGGGCCUUGUGCUACUAGAGCGGCUGAUGGCAGAUUAGGUAGUUGGUGGGGUAAAAGCUUACCAAGCCUGCGAUCUGUAGCUGGUCUGAGAGGACGACCAGCCACACUGGGACUGAGACACGGCCCAGACUCCUACGGGAGGCGGCAGUGGGGAAUUUUGGACAAUGGGCGAAAGCCUGAUCCAGCAAUGCCGCGUGCAGGAUGAAGGCCCUCGGGUUGUAAACUGCUUUUGUACGGAACGAAAAGCCUGGGGCUAAUAUCCCCGGGUCAUGACGGUACCGUAAGAAUAAGCACCGGCUAACUACGUGCCAGCAGCCGCGGUAAUACGUAGGGUGCAAGCGUUAAUCGGAAUUACUGGGCGUAAAGCGUGCGCAGGCGGUUUUGUAAGACAGUGGUGAAAUCCCCGGGCUCAACCUGGGAACUGCCAUUGUGACUGCAAGGCUAGAGUGCGGCAGAGGGGGAUGGAAUUCCGCGUGUAGCAGUGAAAUGCGUAGAUAUGCGGAGGAACACCGAUGGCGAAGGC
rnacentral:rRNA from 1 species